GAAUUUUGGACAAUGGGCGAAAGCCUGAUCCAGCAAUGCCGCGUGCAGGAUGAAGGCCUUCGGGUUGUAAACUGCUUUUGUACGGAACGAGGAGUCUCGGGAUAAUACCCUGGGACCAUGACGGUACCGUAAGGAUAAGCACCUGCUACUUACGUGCCAGCUGGCGCGGUAAUACGUAGGGUGCAAGCGUUAAUCGGAAGUACUGGGCGUAAAGCGUGCGCAGGCGGUUAUAUAAGACAGAUGUGAGAUCCCCGGGCUCAACCUGGGAACUGCAUUUGUGACUGUAUAGCUAGAGUACGGCAGAGGGGGGUGGAAUUCCGCGUGUAGCAGUGAAAUGCGUAGAUAUGCGGAGGAACACCGAUGGCGAAGGCAACCCCCUGGGCCUGUACUGACGCUCAUGCACGAAAGCGUGGGGAGCAAACAG
rnacentral:rRNA from 1 species